CAAAAAAAAAAAAAAAAAAAGGUAUAGGUUACAGUGACUGUCCCGAUACAAUUUGGAUCAUUAACAAAUAUAUUUGGCUACCUAUUAUCAUCAAAUGUACCAGAUAAUUUAUAGAACUGAAGCAAUUCUAAAAAUUGCCAGAUGAAUAUAUAAACAAAGCAUUAAAUAGUUAUAAAGUCUUGAUUAGCUAUGACUUUCGAUUUAUUCUUCCUCACUGCUUGCUAUUUUAUGCAAAAUGGGAAAUGAACCAAAAAUAAUUUUCUUGAGAAUUCUGGUUUGAAUAAUUUCUGAGCUGUAAACAAACUUCAUUCAAGUUCAUAGUCCAGAAUAUAGCUGACUCCUUGGGGUUAUACAGUUAUCAAUUUUUGGAAGAAAAAUACUCCCUCACAUCCCAUACAAUUAUUGCAAAGGUUCAGUCAUGUAUGCAAACAGAAUGGCAAACAGGGAUAUUUAAUUCAAAAGAGCAGAUAAUCCAACAUUAUUCCUUUUGGAUUUUAGCACAGAUUGGGAAAGAAUAAUCAGAAAUUUCAUCAACGAUUGCGUCAUUUAGCUGUAUUCUCAAAGUGAAUUGAUUUUUAGAUAAAGCAAUUUGAGCUUCACUUACAAACGCGUCCUUCCUGAAAAGGUUUGCACAGUGCUGAUCUUUCAAAUUUACACUCUUAGGACCUCACUAAGACCUGGAAUAACAAUUCCAGGGGACUGGCAUUCUAAGACUAGCCACGAUUCUAUUGCAGCUUGCAGAAACUGACUGUGGAGGACUAUUUCCCAAUGACUAUCUCUCUGGGGAAAGGUGGCUAAUAGAGGGCAGCUAUUUACUGAAUUAACCCAUAAACCCCAGCUUCCUGCUUUCAAACAGCAGCAGGGUAAAUCUCCACACAACUUUUUAACUAAGGGCCAAAAUAAUGUUUAAAAUUAGUCAUAUCUUGCUCCAUCUCAUCACGGGUAGUUGUUUUAGACAGAGCUGAAACCGAAGAUGUAACAAUUUAGUUUACUCUUGACUCGCAGUACUGCUGUUCUUACAUCUGACUACCUUGGGCUGUGCGGGAAGACGGGGGUUAUGAAGACAAAGAUGGCGAGAGGCACUCUCUGAUUCCACAAAUAACCUGCUCCUGAGAGGUUCAAAGAUGCCACAUUUCUCGUUCCCAUCUAUCUUUUGGGAAAAGGAAGAAAGAAAAUAAAAACCUUUCUUCUUUAUGUUCUGCUAAUGGAAUCUGGGCUUUACAUGGCAUCAAGCAUACAGUAUGAGAGAUUUAGUGUUUUCAUCAAUAUUUCUCCAUAAAGAGAAGGGAAAAUCAUUGCAUUUAAACAACAGAGAACAUUUUAUCCAGAGGAGUUUUGACAAUAGAGAGACUAAAGGUAAAUUAGGGAAUGGGUCAGAUAAUCAUUAAG
rnacentral:lncRNA from 1 species